GAUGAACGCUGGCGGCGUGCCUAAUACAUGCAAGUCGAGCGAACAGACGAGGAGCUUGCUCCUCUGACGUUAGCGGCGGACGGGUGAGUAACACGUGGAGAACCUACCUAUAAGACUGGGAUAACUUCGGGAAACCGGAGCUAAUACCGGAUAAUAUAUUGAACCGCAUGGUUCAAUAGGGAAAGACGGUCUUGCUGGUACUUAUAGAUGUCUCGGCGCCGCAUUAGCUAGUUGGUAAGGUAACGGCUUACCAAGGCGACGAGGCGUAGCCGACCUGAGAGGGUGAUCGGCCACACUAGAACGGUGAGGAGGUCCAGGCUCAUAGCGAAGGCAGCAGUCGGGACUCUUCCGCCACGGGCGACAGCCUGAUGGAGGACCGCCGCAUGAGUGAUGAGGGUAUAGGGAUCGUAAAACUCUGUUAUUUGGGAAGAACAAAUGUGUAAAUAACUAUGCACAUCUUGACGGUACCUACUCAGAAAGCCACGGCUAACUACGUG
rnacentral:rRNA from 1 species